rnacentral:rRNA from 1 species
AUUGAACGCUAGCGGGAUGCUUUACACAUGCAAGUCGAACGAGUGGCGGACGGGUGAGUAAUAUAUCGGACCGUGCCCAGUAGCGGGGGAUAACUAAUCGAAACAGGGGCUAAUUACGCCUACAAUUGGAGGGGCCGAUGUCGGAUUAGCUAGUUGGUGGGGUAAAGGCUUACCAAGGAAACGAUCCGUAGCUGGUUUGAGAGGACGCCCAGCCACACUGGGACUGAGACACGGCCCAGACUCCUACGGGAGGCAGCAGUGGGGAAUUUUGGACAAUGGGGGAAACCCUGAUCCAGCCAUCCCGCGUGUAUGAGAAGGCCUUCGGGUUGUAAAGUACUUUAGGCAGAGAAGCGGUAUCUGCAGAAUAAGCACCGGCUAACUACGUGCCAGCAGCCGCGGUAAUAC